rnacentral:rRNA from 1 species
GAUGAACGCUGGCGGCGUGCCUAAUACAUGCAAGUCGAGCGAACAGACGAGGAGCUUGCUCCUCUGACGUUAGCGGCGGACGGGUGAGUAACACGUGGAUAACCUACCUAUAAGACUGGGAUAACUUCGGGAAACCGGAGCUAAUACCGGAUAAUAUAUUGAACCGCAUGGUUCAAUAGUGAAAGACGGUUUUGCUGUCACUUAUAGAUGGAUCCGCGCCGCAUUAGCUAGUUGGUAAGGUAACGGCUUACCAAGGCAACGAUGCGUAGCCGACCUGAGAGGGUGAUCGGCCACACUAGAACUGAGACACGGUCCAGACUCCUACGAGAGGCAGCAGUAGGGAAUCUUCCGCAAUGGGCGAAAGCCUGACGGAGCAACGCCGCGUGAGUGAUGAAGGUCUUCGGAUCGUAAAACUCUGUUAUUAGGGAAGAACAAAUGUGUAAGUAACUAUGCACGUCUUGACGGUACCUAAUCAGAAAGCCACGGCUAACUACGUG